UCAAGUCGAAGAGUUAAAGUCUAAUCAAGUCGAAGAGUGAAAGUCUAAUCAAGUCGAAGAGUUAAAGUCUAAUCAAGUCGAAGAGUUAAAGUCUAAUGAAGUCGAAGAGAUUAGACUUUAACUCUUCGACUUGAUUAGACUUUAACCUCUUCGACUUGAUUAGACUUUAACUCUUCGGCUUUG
rnacentral:pre_miRNA from 1 species